AAACCCCUGCUGUGCACGUGCAGCUUUAUAUUUUGAACCAACACCUUUAUUUAGGGAGUUCAAGUUGAAUUGUGGCGUUAAAGCCCCUUAAAGGGGACUAACAAAAUGUUUCAGGAGAACACCCACCUGCAAUUAUGCAGACUCAAAAUACAGCAUCAACGACAUGGUGGGGAUUGU
rfam:Dialister micraerophilus DSM 19965 genomic scaffold SCAFFOLD1, whole genome shotgun sequence.